rnacentral:misc_RNA from 1 species
ACAAACUUGGUCAUUUAGAGGAAGUAAAAGUCGUAACAAGGUCUCCGUUGGUGAACCAGCGGAGGGAUCAUUACAGAGUGUUAAAACUCCCUAAAACCCAUGUGAACAUACCUAUCGUUGCCUCGGCGGGCUAUGCUCUGGCCGUCCCUCACGGGGCGCCGGAUUACCCCGCCGGAGGACCCCAAACUCUUUAUGAAUCUUGGUAUUAUCUGAGUGGCAUAAGCAAAUAAAUCAAAACUUUCAACAACGGAUCUCUUGGUUCUGGCAUCGAUGAAGAACGCAGC